GCACGAGUAGCUCAGUUGGAAGAGCAGCGCCCUUCUAAGGCGAAGGUCACAGGUUCGAGCCCUGUCUCGUGCACCA
rnacentral:tRNA from 1 species